rnacentral:lncRNA from 1 species
UGAAGACUGGCUUCUGAGUGUUGUUUGUGAGAAUACGUAUUCUUGCUUCCAGCAUGCCCAUGGAGGCAAAUGCAUAACAGCUGCCACAUGAGGCUUGAUUCCUAACAGGGCUGACAUAAUUGACGCCAUUCACAUUUCUCCAGUCCCAGGAUUCUGGUAAGCCUGAAACUUUUUUGAGUAACUCAGGUGUUAGAGGGGCAGGCUUUGGCCGUGAAGUCCUGGA